rnacentral:rRNA from 1 species
CCUACGGGAGGCAGCAGUGGGGGAUAUUGCACAAUGGGGGGAACCCUGAUGCAGCGACGCCGCGUGGGUGAAGAAGCGCCUCGGCGCGUAAAGCCCUGUCAGCAGGGAAGAAAAUGACGGUACCUGAAGAAGAAGCCCCGGCUAACUACGUGCCAGCAGCCGCGGUAAUACGUAGGGGGCAAGCGUUAUCCGGAGUUACUGGGUGGAAAGGGGGCGCAGACGGCGAUGCAAGCCAGGGGUGAAAGCCCGGGGCCCAACCCCGGGACUGCUCUUGGAACUGCGUGGCUGGAGUGCAGGAGGGGCAGGCGGAAUUCCUUGUGUAGCGGUGAAAUGCGUAGAUAUCAGGAGGAACACCGGUGGCGAAGGCGGCCUGCUGGACUGCAACUGACGUUGAGGCCCGAAAGCGUGGGGAGCAAACAGGAUUAGAUACCCGUGUAGUC